rnacentral:rRNA from 1 species
GGACCUGACUGCUAUCGGAUUGAUACUAAGCCAUGCGAGUCAUUGUAGCAAUACAAGGCAUACGGCUCAGUAACGCGUAGUCAACCUAACCUAUGGACGGGAAUAACCUCGGGAAACUGAGAAUAAUGCCCGAUAGAACAUUAUGCCUGGAAUGGUUUAUGUUCCAAAUGAUUUAUCGCCGUAGGAUGGGACUGCGGCCUAUCAGUUUGUUGGUGAGGUAAUGGCCCACCAAGACUAUUACAGGUACGGGCUCUGAGAGGAGUAGCCCGGAGAUGGGUACUGAGACACGGACCCAGGCCCUAUGGGGCGCAGCAGGCGAGAAGACUUUGCAAUGUGCGAAAGCACGACAAGGUUAAUCCGAGUGGUUUCUGCUAAAGAAACCUUUUGUCAGUCCUAGAAACACUGAUGAAUAAGGGGUGGGCAAGUUCUGGUGU